CACGUAGGGGGCGAGCGUUGUCCGGAAUCAUUUGGGCGUAAAGAGCUCGUAGGCGGCUCAGUAAGUCGGGUGUGAAACCCCCAGGCUCAACCUGGGGACGCCACCCGAUACUGCUGUGGCUAGAGUCCAGUAGGGGAGUGUGGAAUUCCCGGUGUAGCGGUGAAAUGCGCAGAUAUCGGGAGGAACACCAGCGGCGAAGGCGGCACUCUGGGCUGGAACUGACGCUGAGGAGCGAAAGCGUGGGUAGCAAACAGG
rnacentral:rRNA from 1 species